CGGGGUGGAGUCCGGGCUAAACGGGAG
rnacentral:sRNA from 1 species